UACUUGGCGGCAGUAAUCUAACGGCUUUAAUUCGUGAAGCAACCGGCCCAUGCAUUCGAAUAGCCGAAACACUUGAAGUUCUACUUUGGCGUUUACAGAGGCUGUUCUUUCUAAACGGUGAGCAGGAGUUCCAUGUUUUUCUUCUUGUGGAUAUUGGAAGGAUCAAGUAUCCAAGCUAUAGGUGCGCUAGAACAAUGCCAGUCUUUGCUUCUCGAGAGGACUUUCUGGCGUAUGAGCAGGCAUUGCAAUUGGCUCAG